GGUUUCGAGGAAUGACAAUCCCUGCGGAGGAAGGUGGGGUUGAAACACACCUGUCUAAUAUUGCGAGUUGUUUGCUGAAGACCCUGAGCGCUGGUAUAUUUCUUCAUCCAUUAUCCCAGCUUUACCUCUUCCUGCACCCCUGCAAACACCUUUGGCCGAAGGAGGUCUAAGAAGGCCCCUCCCCCCAGCUUUCAGUUUGGUGUGGAGCAGAAUCAACCAAUAGAACUCACUGAAUGAUCAAGCUCUUCCAGAUGAGAAAACCCCCACCAAAUGGAAGACAUUAACUGCUUGAUGACCAUGAGCACGUAGCCCCCACGCCUACGGGACUUAAGGAUUGAUCACGUUAACCCCUGUGACACCUGUUACCUCACCAUCAACCAAUCAGAGAAUUGCGCACGAGCUGAUCACGGACCCUGGGACGCCCCUCCCUCACCUGGCCUUUAAAACUACUUUGCUGAAACCCAAGGAGGAGUUGAGUGCUUUGAGCACUAGCUGUCCUGACUGCUUGCUUGGUGCCCUGCAGUAAACGCUGCACGUUCCUUCACCACAACCGGGUGUCAGUAACUUGGCUUUACUGCGCGUGGGCGAGAGGACCCAAGUUUGGUUGGGUACCAAGGUGGGCUGGAGUGUCCACACAUGUGGGAGACGCCUUUCCUAACGCAAGAAAGCACUGGGAGUGAGCAGAGGCGCUGGUCAGGCCGGAGGCUGCUGCCCGCACCGCCGCCACUUUCUGGCAUGGAAACCCGGAGCAGGGAAGAGCCCCACGUUCCGUUCUGGCCUUGGGAAGGAGGAUUUGUCAAGAGACUCACAGCCAAAGACUCUUAUCUGCAGACCUGCCAAAGGAAGUGAUUGCCAAAGGGUCUUUUAAAUGAAGAAUGGAGACAAUCUGUUGCCUCUUUUCAUUCCGAACCACGGAAGGGUGUGCCACCAAAAUGAGGGAGUAAAGCAAGAAAGAGGAAAACCAGGAAGGAACCAAGAAGGAGAGGCUCCAGCACAGGAAGGAGGUGAAGAGUAUCAACAGGAUGAUAGCAGAGGGAAGUCCUGGGAGAACAGUGGAUGGAGCCCAAGAGAAAAACCAGUCCAGGUUGGAAAAAGGACGUCAAGGGUCCCAGAAAGGAGGUAUUUAGACUCUGAUAGAUUACCUGUUCUAUAUUACAACGUGGAAAGUUUGGGGGACACUGUUGAAAGUUGGGGAUAGUUAUAUACAAAGCCUGGCUGAUGGAAAAAACAAGGCAAUUAUUAACUCCAAGAAAAACAAAACGUUGUACAAGAAAGGAAAGGUAAUUAUAGUGUAAUGUUAGCUCAGUAGAGAACAUUAUUUAUACAGUUAUAAUAAUAUAAAUCCUGAAUAUUGAUUUAACCGAAAAAGGGAACAAGAGGAAGCAGUGUUGUGGGAUAGGAGACUUAAGUCCUCCCCAACUGUAAUAGUCACUAAAUAAGGAUCUAGUCAGACACAUAUAUGACUUAGAAAUAUGGAAGUAAAUACCAGAAGAAACUGCUAAAAUUAAUUUAAAGUAGCUACCUGCAGGGACUAGUGGUAAAGGGGGUGGGGCAGGAGAAUA